UUUCCGUAGGUGAACCUGCGGAAGGAUCAUUAAUGAGUUGUCAUGGGGUUCGAUGCUGGCAGCCGAUUUUUGGAUGCAUGUGCUUGCCCUAACAAUCAUCUUCCAAACACCUGUGCACAUUUUUGAGGGAGUCUUGAGUUGGUUGCCGCUCUUGGGUGAUUUUCUCACAUUCCCUUAAAUCAUUAUACGCUAUUAACAAUGUUGAACGUGCUCUGUGCCGCAAGGCUAUUAAUAUAAUACAACUUUUAACAACGGAUCUCUUGGCUCUC
rnacentral:misc_RNA from 1 species